rnacentral:rRNA from 1 species
UACGUAGGGUGCGAGCGUUGUCCGGAAUUACUGGGCGUAAAGAGCUCGUAGGUGGUUUGUCGCGUUGUUCGUGAAAUCUCACGGCUUAACUGUGAGCGUGCGGGCGAUACGGGCAGACUUGAGUACUGCAGGGGAGACUGGAAUUCCUGGUGUAGCGGUGAAAUGCGCAGAUAUCAGGAGGAACACCGAUGGCGAAGGCAGGUCUCUGGGCAUUAACUGACGCUGAGGAGCGAAAGCAUGGGGAGCGAACAGG